AUUGUCACUGGCGACUUCAACCAGAUUUACCGAGCUCGAGAUAAAAAUAACAGGAACAUCAAUCGCAGCCGCCUAAGCCGCUUCCAUGCUACACUAGACACUUGUGAACUAAAAGAGGUCCACCUCCAGAACAGACGCUUCACUUGGAGUAACGAGCGUCAGAACCCUACUUUGUGCAAGCUGGACUCAGGUUUUCUGCAACGCCGCUUGGGGCAUGCAUUUUGA
rnacentral:rRNA from 1 species